rnacentral:rRNA from 1 species
ACUCCUACGGGAGGCAGCAGUGGGGAAUAUUGCGCAAUGGGGGAAACCCUGACGCAGCAAUGCCGAGUGAGUGAGGAAGGCCUUCGGGUUGUAAAGCUCUGUCAGAUUGGGAAUAAGUUGCUUAGGGUCCAAUAGGCCCUAAGUUUGAGGUACCUUCAAAGGAAGCACCGGCUAACUUGCGUGCCAGCCAGCCGCGGUAAUACGAAGGGUGCAAGCGUUGUUCGGAUUUAUUGGGCGUAAAGC